AGGACGAACGCUGGCGGCGUGCUUAACACAUGCAAGUCGAGCGGUAAGGCCUUUCGGGGUACACGAGCGGCGAACGGGUGAGUAACACGUGGGUGAUCUGCCCUGCACUCUGGGAUAAGCUUGGGAAACUGGGUCUAAUACCGGAUAUGACCACAGUGCGCAUGUGGUGUGGUGGAAAGUUCUGGAGGUGGAGGAUGAGCUCGCGGCCUAUCAGCUUGUGGUGGGGUAAUGGCCUACCAAGGCUUCGACGGGUAGCCGCGUCGA
rnacentral:rRNA from 1 species